AAGCAGCCUCAAAAGCAAAGUCUCUUUCUGACCUUCUCCUGCUCUCUUUCUCUCUUGAAGUGAGUGGUAGAAUUCCUCUUGCCUAAGGUGGGUCAUAGAAACUAGAACCCUCUUCCCCAAAGCAAGCCAUAAAACUUAGAUCACUCUUUUCUCUUCCCUCUUAAAGAACCGCAUUUCAGUGGGGUCCUGACCCAUAUCUGGGAGGAAGAAAUUCUACAGAAACCCAGAAGAAUCUGAACAGACAGCCUUACUAGAUUCUGGUACCCAGUGUGGGGUGACUGAAAUGAGCUUGGGACAACUGAUAAAAAAUCAACAACAACAACAGCAGGAACAUUUUUUUUUCAACCAAGGUCAUCUCUCCUGGAUCUCUGCCUAUAGUGCCCAAUUAAAAAUAGAAGGGAGAACAGAAUUGUACUGACUUCAGAAGUGAGAGAAGUAAAAUUCUUUAAAAAAAUGGUCAUUUCAUAAUUAAACUGAUGAACAAGGACAAUUUUACUUGAUGACUGUCAGAUCUGUAACCCCUAAUUUUAUUUUCAAUCAUUUUUGCGGGGUUAAGAAGCCACGAUCUACUCUGCACAUGUGAUAAGAUGCUCAAUAGUUUAAUUUAACUAUCUUUUCUCUUUUUAAGCAAAGAUAAUCAUGGAAAAACAGAGAUUAGUAUGUAUUCUGAUUUAUUUCAGACAAGCAGAAUAGAGUCAGCAUUAUCUUCUCAUGGCUUUCAAGCCAAUGACGUUCAUCUUCCUCAUGAAUUCUGGAC
rnacentral:lncRNA from 1 species